AUGAAAUAUGGAUGUGAGCUUAGAGGCUACACACGGUCUCUGGGAUACUCGAACUAUCUUUCUUGCCGUGGACCAGCUAACAUGCCUUGGUUGCGCCAGUGUACUGACCCCUGUGGACAUUACCUCAUUAAAUAUUCAAUAAAUGUUAUUUUUUUCCUACUGCCUUUCUGUCUUCUAUAUGAGAAUAUGUAAGUAUUCGCUGAAGGCUUUUCUUUUGCUUUUGUGAAUACCUUCACACCAUGUUGUAUUCUGUCUUGGUUAGUUAAAAAAAAAAAAAAAGUUGGCCAGGUGCAGUGGCUCACAGCUGUAAUCCCAGAACUUUGGGAGGCCAAGGCAGGGAGAUCACCUGAGGUUGCGAGAUCAAGAGCAACCUGACCAACAUGGAGAAAGCCAUCUCUACUAAAAAUACAAAAUUAGCCAGUCAUGGUGGCACGCACCUAUGAUCCCACCUACUCGGGAGGCUAAGGCAAGAGAAUUGCUUGAACCCAUGAGGCGGAGGUUGCAGUGAGCCGAGAUUGCGCCACUGUACUCCAGCCUGGGUGACUGAGCGAGACUCUGUCUCAAAAAAAAAAAAUAAAUAAAUAAAAGGUUAAUUAUAUUUCUUGUUAUGAGACAAAUGAACUAUUUCACACUUUCCAUUGAGGAUAGCAUGUAACGCAGGUUUUUCUCUUACAGGUUGUGGGACUGGAAAGUAUCUUAAAGUGAACAGCCAGGUACAUACCGUGGGCUGUGACUACUGUGGGCCACUGGUAGAGAUUGCCCGGAAUAGAGGAUGUGAAGCCUUGGUAUGUGACAACCUUAAUCUCCCCUUUAGGGAUGAGGGCUUUGAUGCCAUCAUCUCCAUAGGAGUCAUACAUCAUUUUUCUACAAAACAAAGAAGAAUCAGAGCAAUAAAAGAAAUGGCCAGGGUCUUAGUUCCUGGAGGCCAGCUGAUGAUAUAUGUUUGGGCAAUGGAACAAAAGAACCGUCGCUUUGAGAAGCAAGACGUGCUUGUUCCAUGGAACAGGGCCCUGUGUUCCCAGCUCUUCUCAGAGUCCAGCCAGUCUGGGAGGAAGAGGCAGUGUGGACACCCAGAAAGAGGCCAUCCCUACCAUCCUCCUUGCUCUGAGUGUAGCUGUUCUGUUUGUUUUAAAGAGCAGUGUGGUUCAAAACGGUCCCACAGUGUGGACUAUGAACCUGCUAUGGCAAGAACCUGUUUUGCAAAUAUUUCUAAGGAAGGCGAGGAAGAAUAUGGAUUCUACAGCACAUUAGGAAAAUCGUUUCGUUCCUGGUUUUUCUCCAGAUCUUUGGAUGAAUCGACUCUGAGGAAGCAAAUUGAAAGAGUAAGACCCUUGAAAAACACAGAAGUUUGGGCCAAUAGCACUGUAACAAUCCAGCCUUCCAGACACUCUAGUUUAGACUUUGAUCACCAAGAGCCAUUUUCAACAAAAGAGCAAAGCCUAGAUGAGGAAGUGUUUGUGGAAUCUUCUUCUGGAAAACACUUGGAGUGGCUGAGAGCACCAAGUACCCUGAAUCAUUUAAAUGGAGGCCAUCAAGGAGAAAUGAGAAGAAAUGGAGGGGGAAAUUUUCUGGAUAGCACUAAUACCGGUGUGAAUUGUGUGGAUGCAGGUAACUUAGAAGAUGAUAAUCCUUCUGCUAGUAAAAUAUUGAGAAGGAUUUCUGCAGUCGAUUCCACAGAUUCCAACCCAGAUGAUACAAUGUCUGUGGAAGAUCCACAGCCUGAUAUUUUGGACUCCACAGCCUUUAUGCGCUACUACCACGUGUUUCGAGAAGGGGAGCUCUGCAGUCUGCUCAAGGAGAAUGUGUCAGAGCUCCGUAUCCUGAGUUCUGGGAAUGAUCAUGGUAACUGGUGUAUCAUUGCAGAGAAAAAGGGAAGUUGUGAUUGAUUGGAUCCUUUUAGACAACUCCUCCAAAAGAUGAGCCACAUUCUUUUCUCUUGGUUUGAUAUGGUUACCUGAAUUUGCAUUCAGUGUUAUUUGUUAAUCCAUUUAUGCUUUGGUCUGCAGAGACUAUUAGUUAUUUGGUUGUUUUUGUUUUUAUCUUUGAAUAAGCACAGAUCCUGGCACUGAAAGCACUUGACAAAGGGUAUUUGUGCUUAAAUGUUAAUAUAAAAGAUCUGAAGGAGCAACAGAAAAUGCCCUUCAGUACAGCUCAGAUUUUUUUUUUUUAACCCCAGAGAGAUAAAAUACAUGUAUAGUGUUUUUCAGUAUUAAACAUCGAUUUAAAAAGAUUAUGCUGUUAAAUAAUCUUUUAAAACAGUAUUUUUAUAAAGUGAGGGGAUAAUUUCUGGUUCUCAGGUUAUAAUUGAGAGCAGUGUGCAAGAUAAUAGGUAAAUUUGAUCCAUUGCACAGAUACACAUUGAACCACGCGAUGAGUUAUCUUGUUGCCAAGGCCUUGCUUCUACUUAAAGUUUUCAGAAAACUGAGUGACAGUGGAGAGAACCAAGAAGUGUUACAAGGACUUUUCUAAAUUAUAAGCAAACUUGCUUCAAAAUAAGUUGACAUGUGAUAACAAGGUUUUCAAUGUAGCCCAGGAGGUUUUUAAAGGCACUGUUAGGCUGAGCGUGGUGGCUCAUGCCUGUAAUCCUAGCACUUUGGGAGGCCGAGGCAGAAGGAUCACUUGAACCCAGGAGUUCAAGAAUAGCCUGGGCAAUAUAGCAAGACCCCAUCACUAUAAAAAAUUAGCCAGGUGUGGUGGUGCAUGCCUGUCGUCCAAGCUACUCAAGAGACUGAGGCAGGAGGAUCACGUGAGCCCAGGAAUUCAAGGCUGCAGUGAAUUAUGAUUGCACCACUGCACUGCAGCCUGGGCAACAUAGCAAGACUGUCUCAAAAUAAUAAUAAUAAUAAAGGCAUUGUUAGCUUGUAAGGAGUGGAGUAUGUAGGUGCUAGGAGUUAUAUGCAAGUACCCAAGUGGUAUUCUUCCAAUCUUAUUAGAAGCAUGAAUAUCCAAGACCAAGAUUGACUAAUGAUGAGUCUACAUCAAGAACUACGCAUUUCUUCUGAGUUGACGGACUCUUUAGGAAAGGAAAAUCUAGGUGAAGCACUGAUUUUAGCUCUGAGAACAAACAAAUUAAGGUACAGCAUAGUUACCCUUGGUAGAGGUAUGACUGGGGUUUGCUGUAUCCUUUAAAAUAGUAUCUGGGCAUUUAUUUUAUUGAAGGUGACUACAUUUUAUUAGUUAUAUUGGGAAUUUAGGUAGAAUCAACUUCUACUGAUUAAAGGUUGAAUUUCUGUCACUUUGUAGAGAAACAAAUAGACUGGACACUGUGUGGUCACUGUUUAGAUUUGCCCAUGGGUCUGUUUAAAUCUAUGUCAUGGAUCCUGAGACAAAAAUAUAAUUAAGACAGGUCUAGAGACAGGAGAAGCAGAAAUAAGUUGACCCAGACAUACAGUCUCAAGUAGUUCAUUAAUGAGAAAAUUGACAUCUGACAAGAAUCUUUUUACUUUAUGCUGGAUGAAAAUCCAAAUCUUGUUUUAUUUUUUCCACUAAAAGUAACUAAAAUAAUACAAAUUUCAUUUGUUUUUGGGUUCUUUUCUCCUUUAAUGAUUGUGCUGUAACUUAAAAUAAUGAUGUUACUUUUGAACAAACUUAAAGAACUAUUUUUAAAGCAUAUGAAAACUAUUGAUGUUUAUAACUCUCUUUUGGCUUCAAAAUAAGAUUGUGUUAUCACUAUUUUGGUAGAGGAGGUUGUCUGGUGAAAAUGAUGCAUAUGACUUGUACUGUUCAGUGUACAUCCUGCAGUAGUGGACGAUUGAAAACAUAUGUAAGUGGAGUAUAAAUUAAAAAAUAAUUUGGUUUCUUCUAUUUCUCUUUUUUUUUUUUGAGACAGAGUCUCCCUCUGUCUCCCAGGCUGGAGUGCAGUGGCGCUAUCUCGGCUCACUGCAAGCUCCGUCUCCUGGGUUCACGCCAUUCUCCUGCCUCAGCCUCCCAAGUAGCUGGGACUACAGGCACCCACCACCAUGCCCGGCUGGUUUUUUGUAUUUUUAGUAGAGACGGGGUUUCACCGCAUUAGCCAGGAUGGUCUCGAUCUCCUGACGUCAUGAUCCACCCGCCUCGGCCCCCCAAAGUGCUGGGAUUACAGGUGUGAGCCACCACGCCCAGCCUGUUUCUUUUAUUUCUUAAUUCAGGACAUUAAACCAUGACUGCAAGGGAUUUUCUUGGUAAAAAGAAAAGAUUCUCAGAGUCAAAAUGUUCUUACAACUCGGGCUUGAUGGCCUUUGAAUUAUGAAUGGAUUGUUCCUCUCUCUGAAGCCUGUUGUCACAUGGGUUUUUAAUCCUGGCUUUGCUGCUAGAAAUCUGUGCUUGAAGUCCUCUCUUUCUGCUGGUAGCCUACCACUUAAAAGUCAUGACGUGGUGGAACUCAGUUUACUAGACUCUUUAGCCUUUGAGCUAAACUGUCUGAGCAACCUCUUAGAUGUACACACACCACUUUGUAUGAAAGGGUUCUCUAGAACGGUUCUUUGGAGAGAAAUAUUUUCAUGUAAGUUUGACAGGGGUGUAAAUAAAGCAUGGUUACUAAUAAGUCUUUUACUCUUCAUCUAAUGAACAUAAGAAUCUAUGCAUCCAGAUAUUAUUUUGUAUACAAAUAUUUAACUUGGUGAUUGAUAAUCUCUCUUUGGAGAAGUCACAUGGAAAGCUCUUUUAAAUUUAACUUCUGCCUUUGGAUUUUUUUUAAAAAGCCAUUGAAGAGCAAAACUAAUGUAAACAUCUUGAUCAUUUAAAAAGCUUACUUGUCCUUGAAAGGAAACACAAGUCAUCAGUGAGUAUAAACGUAGACAGUUGAUUUGUGAAUGCUGUUGGCCUCAACUUGCUUGAUGAUAGAUUCUACUGACCUAGCUGGAGUAAUUUGAUCACUUACUUCUUUAUUAAUACUAGAUUACACAGUGUCUUUCUUAUUCCUUCUUUACUUACUGGCAUCAGCACAGAGUCCCACUAUUUGAAACAGAAGGGAGAGUUUGGGGGGUUAUUGGAGGAUUCUUAAAAACUUGGUUGGCAGCUGGGCGCGAUGACUCACACCUGUACUCCUAGCACUUCAGGAGGCUGAGGUGGGUGGAUCAACUGAGGUCAGGAGUUUGAGACCAGCCUGACCAACAUGGUGAAACCCCGUCUUUAUUAAAUACAAAAAAUUAGCCAGGUUGAUGGCGCAUGCCUGUAAUCCCAGCUACUUGGGAGGCUGAGGCAGGAGAAUCGCUUGAACCUGGGAGGCGGAGGUUGCAGUGAGCCAAGAUUGUGCCAUUGCACUCCAACCUGGGCAACAAGAGCGAAACUCCAUCUCAAACAAAACAAAACAAAACUUUGUUGGCUUCCUGAUGCCUCACUGUCUAUUUGAGGAAUUCCACAGAAUCUUCAAAGGAUUUGGGGGAAAGUGCAUUAACAUGGACAAAGGAUGGAAUCAAAAUAAUGUUAUAGUGAGAAUCAUUCAAGCACCUAUUUAAAUUUUUUCCAAUUGCUAGUAUAGUGAUGAUAUGACACCAGCAUAUCAAAGUAACUAACAAACUAGCUACACAAACAUCUUGGAGUUUGGUUUGGUUCUCUUUUCUCAUCACAGAUCUCCGUGCAGAAUAGUGCUAAUUCUUAAUUCUCAUUUGCCUUUCUAUUUCCUUCCAAAUUCUACAUGCCAGUAAUUCCUCUGUCUUUUAAAUGACCAUCAAUUCAAUAGGCAAAAAUCUAGAGUAAUCCAGAGAAAAAACCAUCCAAAUAUAAACCAGCUAAGAACAUGAAUGCCCCUGAAUAUUAAUGGCCAAAAAAAAGCACUGGUGGAUUUUUAAAUUAAAUUAAUACAUAUAUACGAGUUUGGAGGAGAACAGAAGUUCUAACUCAGUAGUUGAACUUGGUGGGGGAGGGCAGAUGUUAAAUAUGAGCUGUGAGCACCCAGUUUUGGAGGAAGGAGGAAAUGGGAACCAACCACCAGCCAAGCAGCUGCAGUCU
rnacentral:sRNA from 1 species